rnacentral:misc_RNA from 1 species
AUAAAUAAAUAAAUAAUAAAUAUAAUUUCAUGACCAUGAGAUUGUGGGAAGAUAAGAGAUUUUUUUGUUAAAGUUUAAUUGAUGCACUCAAUUAAUGUGUGAAAGAGUUGUACUUCCAAAUUCCAAUCGUGCUCAAUAAUUCAAUAUUUUUUUUAACAGGAUCAAAUUAUUCAUAAAAUUGAAUUGAAUACCAUACCAUACCAUACCAUUUAACUAGGUGAUGGUGUUAAUUAUGACAAAAUUGAGGAGGCCAUAGUAAAGGAAAUUAAAGCCAUCUUUGCAAAUAUCGGAGGAACCAAUUUCAAGAAGCCAAAGCAUUCACAUAUGAAGCAUCAGUAAGGUUCAAAAGAAAAUAGGAAGUACAAUUUCAUAGCACAAGAACAGGUCAUAGAAUGCAGCCAUUCAUGAAACACAAUGCAUCAAAAGGUAUAAUGUUAUUGCGAAUGGAACGUAAAAAGUAGAGACUCAAUGUUAAAAUCAAACAAAACAUAGGUCAAAAGGUAAAGGCAAGCUAUUGCUAAGGAUUCAAGAAACAUGGAAAGAAAUCAUACGUCAACAUCAAUCUUGCUCCUGGUAAUGGUGAGAUGCACCCUUCCAAGUUUACAGACACAAGACCAAGAGAUAAUUCAAAUAAAAGCUAGUAAACCAAAUGGGUUUAUAAUUGCAAAAUAUAAAAGCAGCCUCUCCUGAAGAUAUCACCUUACACCUUAAUAGCAUACUUUCUCAUGGGGAAGUACAUUUCUCUCUUCUUCUCACGUUCCGUCUUCAAAGAUUGCUGCACAAAAACAGAUUUAAAGUCUUUUUUAAGAAAUACGUGAAAAGAAAAAGAAUAUGCCACAAAAAUAUGAAAUCGCAUAAAAUUUCAUACAAAUGUUAUCACCAAGGGACCCCACCAAUAUAAAUACGAAGCAUCUCAAAGGCAUGGAGACUGGAGAGAAAGAACAUUUCUACAAUGCAACACAAAAUAGUUCUAACCAUAAAACAAACUAUCACCUAUAAAUCAAAUUUUAAAAUCAAUUCUACUUCUAUUAGAAGUAAAACUUCAACUAAAUAGGCCACAAGGGAACAAAACAAAAUGAAACAAAAUUAUCUAUUCCACACAGGCUUCAAAAAUAAUGCAUUCUUAGUGUAUUGCAAGAUUCCCAAGCAACAAGUAUACCUGUUGGAAAUUUUCAAUAACAACAAAGCCUUAAUACCAAACUAGUUGGGGUAUACCAGAUAAAAAUUUUCAAAUAGGAAGAAAAUUAGUAUAUUCAGGAUAUUAAAUCAUAUGCCGAAAAACAAACAAUGCUUACUAAACAAGCAGCAUCCGCUGAUGAAAUAUUAGCAAAACGUUAUGUUUCAAGUCAAAUAGUCUAGACACCAAAUGCAUAUUUCCCUCGAGAAUAUAAUCAAAACUCAACUAUUUGUGAUGCAUCCAUGUACAAUGUGCCCUCUGAUUCACUGUACCUUCUAAUUCCACCGUCAAACAAUUAUUUAUAAGCACGGAACGCACUCAUCAUAAACACGGAAAUUCAGGAGCAUAGCAAUACCUGGUGCUUAGUAAGCCUC